AGGGUUCGAUUCUGGCUCAGAACGAACGCUGGCGGCAGGCUUAACACAUGCAAGUUGAACGGGAUUUAGUGGUAGCUUGCUAUCAUUAAUGAGAGUAGCGCACUGGUGAGUAACACGUGGGAACAUACCUUUUGGUGGGGGACAACAGUUGGAAACGACUGCUAAUACCGCAUAAGCCCGGAAGGGGAAAGAUUAAUUGCCGAAAGAUUGGCCCGCGGAAGAUUAGGUAGUUGGUGGGGUAAAGGCCUACCAAGCCGACGAUCUAUAGCUGGUCUGAGAGGACGAACAGCCACAUUGGAACUGAGACACGGUCCAGACUCCUACGGGAGGCAGCAGUGAGGAAUAUUGGGCAAUGGAGGCAACUCUGAACCCCCAGCCAUGCCGCGUGAGUGAAGAAGGUUUUCGAAUUGUAAAGCUCUUUCGGGUGUGACGAUGAUGACGGUAACACCUAAAGAAGCCCCGGCAAACUUCGUGCCAGCAGCCGC
rnacentral:rRNA from 1 species